UUUAGAGAGAUUAGAGGAGAAAAAAACCCUUCCACUACAUAUCAAAAGAAAGCCCAAAAUCCGAGUAAAGGCACUCUCUCUUUAGCUGCUUCGGCCGCAUCAUCAAAUGCCAUCUUCGGCAGUUUUAGUACUCAAUGUACAGUUCAUACGAACAAGGUGUAUGAAAUUUAUACGGUUGCGAUCUAAGUUCCUCGCCGCCCAAAAACCUAACUGGUCAAAGGAAGACAAGUCCAAGAUUCAGAUAAGUGGGGGAGCUAUAAUGUGGCCUGCACUUUACCAUAAUUAAACAUCAUGAGGAAACACAAUACUUCAUUGAGGAAUUCAGAUGGUCUUUGAGGUUAUUAAGUUGAAUCAAGAAAGGAAUGGAUUGUAAGCUAGCAAAGUUGGAUAUAUGAUGAGAACAAAAAUUUCGAAGUCAUCCAACUCUAAGUAACUCUCUAUCCCAUGGUGGGGGUAAGCUUAUGGAGGAGCAGAGAAAGCAUCCAGAUCAAUUGGGACAUGAGUGACUAUUUUUUCUCUCUUGUAAAAGUAUAUUGAUAUGUUUGAGUAGAGCAACCUUUUACUAUUGUAAUUUAUUUUGAAUGAUAUUGUUGAGCCUUUAGUUAUGUCUUGCUAAUGUAUUGCAUUUCUUAAAACAAACUAAAAUUCUCUACAUAUUUGAUAUUGCAUUUAUUAAAACAAUUGAAGAUAUUUUGCUA